rnacentral:lncRNA from 1 species
AUAAAGAUACAUUUGUCAUUUUGUGGUGUUCAUCUAUAUUUAAAUGAAGGAUACGAAUCAUCAUUGUAAUGGCAACUUUAGCUGUCAGGGAUCCUGUUGCAGCUCUGCCUCAGCCAGUCUGUGCACAGAGCAUGGAGCACCAGGGCCAUGGAGCAUGUGGGCUAUGGAAUCGGGUUGCCUAUUUUCAUCUUGACUCCAUCACUUGCUGGGCAACCUUGAGGAGCGGACUCAAACCUUUCAAAUAUUUUGAGUGGUUGGAAAGAAGAAACACAAAACAAUUCUAUUUUCUGAGUUUUAAAAAUGUCUGAACCCCUGGAAGACCCAGCCAGACCAAAUCUGCUUUUUCUCCUGGAUCCAUAAUGUACAGUGGUAAAUUAAAGGCUUCGAGAAGCUCUGUAGUAAAGAACUCUGUUUAACUUGAUGUUUUACACAUUCAUUAGACCAUGAGAUUCUCUUCUUGUAGAAUAAGAAUCAACAUCUCAUAGAAAAUUUCCAGAGACCACAGUUAAAGAAGGGUUCUCUGAAGCCUUUUAAAAGCAGAGAGUAGGCAGCCUGAGGUACCAACUCUGCAGUGUGAUCAGCAGAGGAAGACAGAAUUGGGAGAAGCAGCAGAGGUCUAUGGCUUCUAACUGGAACCUAAGGAUAAAAGCACAAGAGAUGCUGAGUGGGAACACUAGGGAAAUUUGCCAGUACAUGGAUCCUGUUUGGAAGAAUCAGAUCAAAGGAAGAAAUAUACAGUGUCAGACCCUGGCACCUCCCAGG